GGAUGAUUAGCUCAGUUGGUAGAGCGUGCGACUGUUAAUCGCAAGGCCACCGGUUCGACCCCGGUAUCGUCCG
rfam:Fragilariopsis cylindrus CCMP1102 unplaced genomic scaffold FRACYscaffold_1, whole genome shotgun sequence.